rnacentral:rRNA from 1 species
AUUGAACGCUGGCGGCAUGCCUUACACAUGCAAGUCGAACGGUAACAGGUCUUCGGAUGCUGACGAGUGGCGAACGGGUGAGUAAUACAUCGGAACGUGCCCGACCGUGGGGGAUAACGGAGCGAAAGCUUUGCUAAUACCGCAUACGAUCUACGGAUGAAAGCAGGGGACCGCUAGGCCUUGCGUGAACGGAUCGGCCGAUGGCAGAUUAGGUAGUUGGUGGGAUAAAAGAUUACCAAGCCGACGAUCUGUAGCUGGUCUGAGAGGACGACCAGCCACACUGGGACUGAGACACGGCCCAGACUCCGACGGGAGGCAGCAGUGAGGAAUUUUGGACAAUGGGCGCAAGCCUGAUCCAGCAAUGCCGCGUGCAGGAUGAAGGCCUUCGGGUUGUAAACUGCGUUUGUACGGAACGAAAAGGCUCUGGUUAAUACCUGGGGCUCAUGACGGUACCGUAAGAAUAAGCACCGGCUAACUUCGUGCCAGCAGCCGCCGUAAUAC